rnacentral:rRNA from 1 species
AUUGAACGCUGGCGGCAGGCCUAACACAUGCAAGUCGAACGAGUGGCGGACGGGUGAGUAAUGACUGGGAAACUGCCUGAUGGAGGGGGAUAACUACUGGAAACGGUCGGUGAUACCUCCUAUCAUCGGAGGGGCCCAGAUGGGAUUAGCUAGUAGGUGGGGUAACGGCGCACCUAGGCGACGAUCCCUAGCGGGUCUGAGAGGAUGACCAGCCACACUGGAACUGAGACACGGUCCAGACUCCUACGGGAGGCAGCAGUGGGGAAUAUUGCGCAAUUGGCGCAAGCCUGAUGCAGCCAUGCCGCGUGUAUGAAGAAGGCCUUCGGGUUGUAAAGUACUUUCCGCGGGGAGGCGUUACCCGCAGAAGAAGCACCGGCUAACUCCGUGCCAGCAGCCGCGGUAAUUC